ensembl:lncRNA
GCAGUUUACUACCUAAAGGGCUCUGGGUUCAGCCACCGCUGGCAGUUCGUUCACGUGAUGUUUUCCCAGGGAACCAAAGAGAAGUAGAGAAGAGUACGUGCAGGACGGGGAAGUAUGUUUUAUUUGCAUACUGGGCGCCUGUUCUGAGCAUGUCGUGACGUCUAACCAAUCAGGUCAGCGAAUCCCGCAAACCACGCCCGCGCGGUAACUCGUGUCGCGCGCUUCACAAUCAGCAUUGUACUAGUGUGCAAGUGAAAGAACCCAAAGUUACAAGCGUCUUUUUGUCACCGUUUCAGCAGGGUUACCUGACAGGAGGACUUUUUGUGUAGCAAGUUGAACUCAGGCAGAGCUCAAAAAACUGCAAGGACGUCUUCGGAACAAGCUCGUGGCUGCCGAGUUUAAACUGCUACCAGCUUGGAGAAGUUAUUGUUCGCCACUCCGUGGGGUUUAAAUUUCGGCUAACAGAAGCGCCCCAGGCCGAAGCAGGUUGUAAGCUCUGCGUGUUAUAAACCUUAAGUUAGGUCGCAAUGGCAGCUGUGUGCCAGCCACGACGGGCCUUGGUGGAAAUACCUGCUCCACAGCCCAAAAUUGCCGCUCGAAUGAGGAGGUCCUACUUGGAAAUAUUAAGUUCACGUAUGGUCCCGACCCCGUCCCCACUUCCAAGAGGAAGAAACACAGCCGCAAACACAAAGCGUAUGCAGUCAUUGGACUUGGCAGUUGGUGGGGCGUGGAGAGGAAGGCUAGAGGAGCAGUGCGAGAAGAUGGACGAGCACCACACACCGCUCUCCAAACAGCAGCUUGUGCAGCUCAUUAGAUCCCUCAUCUUGGUCGAACAGAGCCAAGAGCCCAGGAUCAUGGCAUCAGACCUGAAGUAUCUACAGGAAGACCUGCAGCUAAAGAAGGCCAAUGUUUAUAGGUCCAUACCUUACUCACGAUUUGGAUCCAACAGGGACGCUCACUGCUACAGAAAGGCGUACCCUCACCUGGUGGCAUUCAAAGUUUCGUGUCAGGAGUGGGGUCAAGUUCUGCUCAGGAACAAAGAUUGGGACGCUGUGUUGGAGCACUCGCUGAUGGCGUGGCGUUACACCAGCGAGCUGCCGCAGUGGGACACUGCAAGCCACAACGCCCUUCGAGAGCAGUGUUACAGCAUCCUGGCGGCUCACAGCCUCACCGCUCUCCAGCACUAUUCCCCCGAACCCAACAGAGGACGCGAGCUGCUCAGAAGACUGAAGAUGGCUCAGCUGUAUAGCCAGUCAAUUGUUCCCUGCAUACAGGAGUUGCAGAGGAUAAUGGAAUGUCUUGAUGACUCGUCCAUGGAUACAAAAUGAAAGGAGAAUCCGGCAAAAGAGUGCGAAUUGUGGAUGACCAAAAAAAGGCAAAAACGUGCUUUAUGUGUGGUGAUGGGCCAGGAACAUUGAACACAUUAGUGUUUGUGUAAAACCACUACAAUAUUCUUCCAAAGGGCACGGUGGCAAGUGCAAAAUGAACAAAAUGAAUAAUGCAGGCUUCAAAGGGUAAUAAAUAACACUCCCUAAAUGGCUGAAAAUGGCAUUUUAACAGCAUGUGGAAAGUGUUAUUUUAGGAGUUGUUGCACUGCACAAUGGCAGGGUAUUAAUUAAUGUAACAUUUUGUUCAUACAUUACCAGCCUAUAUGAAAAUGGAGAAGGAGCAUUUACAUUCUGAAAAGCAUUCAGUUGGUGCUUACUGUUAAAAUGUUUGUAUGCUUUUAGACAUCAUAUAGUUUAGUCUGUGUCGAUGGCUGAAAUAUAAAAAGUAUGAAAUUUGCCCCGCUUGUUUUUGCAGGGUUGUGUGUGUGUGUAUAUAUGUUCUUGUUACUGUUUACAUUACUUGAAGCUGUGGCCUUUGUCUUAGACUAUAGUAUCUUGUGUAUCUUGUGUGUACAGAUACUCAUCUGUCAAUGAUUGCACUGUUGUUUGUCCUGAAAACUUGAACAAUUUUGAUAAGACUCCUAAUUUAAUUAAAGACGUUCUUUAAACUGCACUCAUGUGUCUUUGUUCUGUGCGAGUGCUUUGCAUGCGUGCCAAGCACUGUGAACGACUGGAGAAUUUGAGGACAGUGCUGUUUUCAUGUAGUAACUCUGAAGUUUCUAAGUGUGGUUUUUUUGUUUGUUUUUUUUGUAGGAAAACUGUCAAUAGACUGUAAUGGUUUUUCCAACCACUCUGUUUCUAUGCUCACAGUUUUAUCUAAAAUAGAUCAUAGGCUGUGGCUUCCAGGCUCCGAG